UACGUAGGGUGCGAGCGUUAAUCGGAAUUACUGGGCGUAAAGCGUGCGCAGACGGUUGCGUAAGUCAGAUGUGAAAGCCCCGGGCUCAACCUGGGAACUGCAUUUGGGACUGCAAGGCUGGAGUACGGCAGAGGGAGGUGGAAUUCCACGUGUAGCAGUGAAAUGCGUAGAGAUGUGGAGGAACACCGAUGGCGAAGGCAGCCUCCUGGGCUAGUACUGACGCUCAUGCACGAAAGCGUGGGGAGCAAACAGG
rnacentral:rRNA from 1 species